rnacentral:rRNA from 1 species
UACGUAGGGUGCGAGCGUUGUCCGGAAUUAUUGGGCGUAAAGAGCUCGUAGGCGGCUUGUCACGUCGGAUGUGAAAACCCGGGGCUCAACCCCGGGCCUGCAUUCGAUACGGGCAGGCUAGAGGUAGGUAGGGGAGAAUGGAAUUCCCGGUGUAGCGGUGAAAUGCGCAGAUAUCGGGAGGAACACCGGUGGCGAAGGCGGUUCUCUGGGCCUUACCUGACGCUGAGGAGCGAAAGCGUGGGGAGCGAACAGG